rnacentral:rRNA from 1 species
GACUUGUGUGCGCCGGAUGCGGCGAUCUGCGGCCAAAAGGUCGUUGCGAUCAGCCCGUCCUGGCGCCGUAAAAUCUUCAACUGGAUCGCACCUGGUCUUGAUUGACUGGGAGCUGUCAUUCGGUUGAUCGUUUACUGUGAGAAAAUUAGAGUGUUCAAGGCAGGCAUAAUUGCAAUUGAAUAUGUUAGCAUGGAAUAAUAAGAUAAGGCUUCUGCUUUAUUUUUUUGGUUUCUAGAGUGGAAGUAAUGAUUGAUAGGGAUAGUUGGGGGUGCUAGUAUUCAGCGGCCAGAGGUGAAAUUCAUGGAUUCGCUGAAGACUAACUUAUGCGAAAGCAUU